GUGCCCACUUUGGCAGCAUAUGUACUAAGGUUGGAACGGUACAGAGAAGAUUAGCAUGGCCCCUGCACAAAAAGGACAUGCAAAUCUGUGAAGUGUUCUAUACUAAA
ensembl:snRNA U6 U6 spliceosomal RNA